AUUGAACGCUGGCGGCAGGCCUAACACAUGCAAGUCGAGCGGAGCGGCGGACGGGGGAGUAAUACCUAGGAAUCUGACUGGUAGUGGGGGAUAACGUUAGGAAACGGACGCUAAUACCGAAUACUCUCCGAUGAGCCUAGGUCGGAUUAGCUAGUUGGUGAGGUAAUGGCUCACCAAGGCUACGAUCCGUAACUGGUCUGAGAGGAUGAUCAGUCAAACUGGAAUUGAGACACGGUCCAGACUCCUACGGGAGGCAGCAGGGGGGAAUAUUGGACAAGGGGCGAAAGCCUGAUCCAGCCAGGCCGCGUGUGUGAAGAAGGUCUUCGGAUUGUAAAGCACUUUAAGUUGGGAGGCGUUACCGACAGAAUAAGCACCGGCUAACUCUGUGCCAGCCGCCGCGGUAAUUC
rnacentral:rRNA from 1 species